GACGAACGCUGGCGGCGCGCCUAACACAUGCAAGUCGAACGAGCGAGAGAGAGCUUGCUUUCUCGAGCGAGUGGCGAACGGGUGAGUAACGCGUGAGGAACCUGCCUCAAAGAGGGGGACAACAGUUGGAAACGACUGCUAAUACCGCAUAAGCCCACGGUGCCGCAUGGCACAGAGGGAAAAGGAGCAAUCCGCUUUGAGAUGGCCUCGCGUCCGAUUAGCUAGUUGGUGAGGUAACGGCCCACCAAGGCAACGAUCGGUAGCCGGACUGAGAGGUUGAACGGCCACAUUGGGACUGAGACACGGCCCAGACUCCUACGGGAGGCAGCAGUGGGGAAUAUUGCACAAUGGGGGAAACCCUGAUGCAGCGACGCCGCGUGGAGGAAGAAGGUCUUCGGAUUGUAAACUCCUGUUGUUUGGGGAAGAUAAUGACGGUACCCAACAAGGAAGUGACGGCUAACUACGUGCCAGCAGCCGCGGUAAGCUAGUCUACG
rnacentral:rRNA from 1 species